GAUGAACGCUGGCGGCGUGCCUAAUACAUGCAAGUCGAGCGAACGGACGAGAAGCUUGCUUCUCUGAUGUUAGCGGCGGACGGGUGAGUAACACGUGGAUAACCUACCUAUAAGACUGGGAUAACUUCGGGAAACCGGAGCUAAUACCGGAUAAUAUUUUGAGCCGCAUGGUUCAAAAGUGAAAGACGGUCUUGCUGUCACUUAUAGAUGGAUCUGCGCUGCAUUAGCUAGUUGGUAAGGUAACGGCUUACCAAGGCAACGAUGCAUAGCCGACCUGAGAGGGUGAUCGGCCACACUGGAACUGAGACACGGUCCAGACUCCUACGGGAGGCAGCAGUAGGGAAUCUUCCGCAAUGGGCGAAAGCCUGACGGAGCAACGCCGCGUGAGUGAUGAAGGUCUUCGGAUCGUAAAACUCUGUUAUUAGGGAAGAACAUAUGUGUAAGUAACUGUGCACAUCUUGACGGUACCUAAUCAGAAAGCCACGGCUAACUACGUG
rnacentral:rRNA from 1 species